GAUGAACGCUGGCGGCGUGCCUAAUACAUGCAAGUCGAGCGAACGGACGAGAAUCUUGCUUCUCUGAUGUUAGCGGCGGACGGGUGAUUAACACGUGGAUAACCUACCUCUAAGACUGGGAUAACUUCGGCAAACCGUAGCUAAUAGCGGAUAAUAUUUUGACCCUCAUGGUGCAAGAGUGAAAGACGCUCUUUGUGUCACUUAUAGAUGGAUCCGCGCUGCAUUAGCUAGUUGGUAAGGUAACGGCUUACCAAGGCAACGAUGGAUAGCGCACCUGAGAGGGUGGUCGGCUACCCUGGAAGUGAGAAACGGCAGCGACUCCUAGGGGAGGCAGCAGUAGAGAAUCUUACGCGAUGGAGGAGAGCCUGACGGAGCGACGUGGGGGGAGGGAUGACGGUCUUCGGAUCGGUAAACUCUGUUAUUAGGGAAGAACAUAUGUGUAAGUAACUGUGAAGAUAUUGACGGUACCUGGUGAAAAAGCCACGGCUAACUACGUG
rnacentral:rRNA from 1 species